CAGAGGGUGCAAACGUUGUUCGGAAUUACUGGGCGUAAAGCGAGUGUAGGCGGUUCGAUAAGUCGGAUGUGAAAGCCCCGGGCUCAACCCGGGAAGUGCACUCGAUACUGUCGAGCUAGAGUAUCGGAGAGGUUGGUGGAAUUCUCGGUGUAGAGGUGAAAUUCGUAGAUAUCGAGAGGAACACCGGUGGCGAAGGCGGCCAACUGGACGAAUACUGACGCUGAGACUCGAAAGCGUGGGGAGCAAACAGGAUUAGAUACCCUGGUAGUCCACGCCGUAAACGAUGGGUGCUAGGUGUCGCGGGCUUUGACUCCUGCGGUGCCGUAGCUAACGCAUUAAGCACCCCGCCUGGGAAGUACGGCCGCAAGGCUA
rnacentral:rRNA from 1 species